rnacentral:rRNA from 1 species
UACGUAGGGGCAAGCGUUGUCCGGAUUUAUUGGGCGUAAAGAGCGUGUAGGCGGUUUGUCGCGUCUGCUGUGAAAUUUCGGGGCUCAACUCCGGAUCUGCGGUGGGUACGGGCAGACUAGAGUGAUGUAGGGGAGACUGGAAUUCCUGGUGUAGCGGUGAAAUGCGCAGAUAUCAGGAGGAACACCGAUGGCGAAGGCAGGUCUCUGGGCAUUAACUGACGCUGAGGAGCGAAAGCAUGGGGAGCGAACAGG